UGGUCAGCCUGGAAAGACGCCUCCCGUGCUUCCCCCGGUCUGUCCCUUUCAGCCCGGACUGGUGCCCAAGACAUGCGGUUGUCUUUCAGGAACCUUCUCCUUCAAAUAUCCUUUUGUCCGAGUUUCCAGCAGGCUUUGCUUUCUCCUCGAGGCUUUUUGGGGAUACAUCCCGCGCACCCAAUCCUUUCCUGCCGGUUAUUUUUGUGAUUUACAUGGGGGUUUUCUCUAGCAAAGUUGGGCCAACGCAGCAACGUUGUCUCCAUGAGGCGCUGCCUCGGUUGGAAUGCUGGUCCUCCCCUUCCAGUGUUGAUGUGGUCUUGCUGAGCCAGGCAACUAGGGGGCCCCUUCGCUGUGGAAUACUCGGUGCUGCCGGAAAGGCUGGAAACAAAGGCCUCUUAGGAGAGAGAAUUGUUGGUUGAAUGAAUGAAUAAACAAACGAUCUGA